rnacentral:rRNA from 1 species
AAUGAACGCUGGCGGCAUGCCUAACACAUGCAAGUCGAACGAGAUCUUUUGUGUUCUAGUGGCGCCCGGGUGCGUAACCGGAAGGACUUUCCCUUGAGGUUCGGACUACCAGUUAGAAAUGCCUCUUAUUACCGGUUGACGACGGUAAAUCCAAAGAUAUACCGCCUGAGGAUGAGUUCGCGUGGGUUUAGCUAGUUGGUGUGGUAAAGCUGCACCAAGGCGUCGAUCCUUAGCUGGUCUGAGAGGUUGAACAGCCACACUGGGACUGAGACACGGCCCAGACUCCUACGAGACACAGCAGUGGGGAAUAUUGGACAGUGGGCGAGAGUCAGAGCGCGAAGUGGCGCGUAGGUGAAGGAGGCAUUGGGGUUGUAAAGCUCUUUCACCAGAAAUAGCAAUGACAGUAUCGGGAGAAUAAGCACCGGCUAACUCCGUG